GGGGAUUUAGCUCAGUGGUAAAGCACUUGCCUAGCAAGCACAAGGCCCUGGGUUCAGUCCCCAGCUCCG
rnacentral:tRNA from 1 species